GCGACGGAGAUUCGACAAUUCCGCCCGAUUAUCGUGAUCAAUGUGAUCUCCCGCAUCUUGGAAAAGGGGUACGCCAAUAGGGUGACCCCUUUAGCCAACCGCAUCACCCACCCAGACUAGUCGGCCUUCAUCCAGGGUCGGUGCAUCCUCGACGGAGUCCUCAUCUUUCACGAGAUACUCCAUGAGGCCCAAGCCAAGCACCUAUAGGUCGUCUUCCUGAAGAUCGACUUCCAUAAGCCAUAUGACAACGUCAGUUGGUCGUUCCUUCGGGAAGUGUUGAUUAGGAAAGGCUUCGAUGACCACUGGGUCUUGAGGGUCAUACAGCUGGUGUCCUCUGGCCAAACCGCCAUCAACAUCAAUGGGGAGAUUGGCCCUUAUUUCCCCACCUUAUGUGGGGUUAGGCAGGCGACCCAUUUUCCCCUUUCCUUUUCAACAUCGCGGCCAUCCUUGACAAGGCAAAGGCGGUGGGCCACAUUCGGGGCAUCGUCCCCCACCUUACCGGCGGCAAUUGAGUCUAUUUGCUCCAAUAUGCGGACGACACCAUUGUUAUGGUCGAAGGAUACGCGAUGGAUAUCAUGA
rnacentral:rRNA from 1 species